GUUUUGGUCUGUGAAUUCGCAUGAAUAGGUUUGGAGUUUGGAUGGAUGGAUAGAUGCGAUGCAUGAGAAUGAGAGAGCAGGCAGUUCCAAGUGGGUUAGGAGUGUAGCAGAAGCAGUAGAGCUGUGCUUUUGUUGUGGAUUUUUAUAACUUUUGACCUUUGGCGUCGAUGAUAGAUGGAGGUAGACUUAUGCACAUUGUGUAUAAACGUAGUCAUCGUUUAAAAAAAAUAACAAUAAAUAACUAAUUCUGAGCGAG